ACAAACAGUUUCUAUUGCAAACGCUGUUUUAUACUUCACAAUUCUUUUAACACUGCAGUGAGGGGACCGAGCAAAUUUACAGUUGGAAAUUGCAUUUGUCUUAUUUUUUAAAAUAUGUUUGCAAACUAUACUGAUGAUUAUUGUGUGAAUGUGUUUGUUUGUCUGUAUGUGACACUGUGACAU